rfam:Thermobacillus composti KWC4, complete genome.
GGUUAAGCUGGAAAGAGCGCACGGAGGAUGCCUAGGCACCAGGAGCCGAUGAAGGACGCGGCGAACGGCGAUAUGGCCUCGGGGAGCUGUAAGCAAGCAUCGAUCCGGGGAUGUCCGAAUGGGGAAACCCGGCCGGGGUAAUGCCCGGUCACCCUGCAGUGAAUCCAUAGCUGCAGCGGAGGCACACCAGGGGAACUGAAACAUCUCAGUACCCUGAGGAAGAGAAAACAACACGUGAUUCCGUCAGUAGCGGCGAGCGAACGCGGAGGAGCCCAAACCGGAAGGCUUGCCUUCCGGGGUUGUAGGACGUCUCACAUGGAGUGACAAAGGCGCCUGUUAGGUGAACAGGUCUGGAAAGGCCGGCCAUAGGAGGUAAAAGCCCUGUAGCCGAAAGCAGGCGCCCUCCGAGACGGAUCCUGAGUACCGCGGGGCACGGGAAACCCCGUGGGAAGCAGGCAGGACCAUCUGCCAAGGCUAAAUACUCCCUGGUGACCGAUAGUGAAGCAGUACCGUGAGGGAAAGGUGAAAAGCACCGCGGGAGCGGAGUGAAAGAGAACCUGAAACCGUGCGCUUACAAGAAGUCAGAGCCCUAUGACGCUUUCCUUCGGAAACGUCACGGGUAAUGGCGUGCCUUUUGUAGAAUGAACCGGCGAGUUGCGUUUGCGUGCAAGGUUAAGGCGGGGAGCCGAAGCCGGAGCGAAAGCGAGUCUGAAGAGGGCGAAUGAGUACGCAGGCGCAGACCCGAAACCGGGUGAUCUACCCCUGUCCAGGGUGAAGGUUCGGUAACACGGACUGGAGGCCCGAACCCACGAGCGUUGAAAAGCUCGGGGAUGAGGUGGGGGUAGCGGAGAAAUUCCAAUCGAACCCGGAAAUAGCUGGUUCUCCCCGAAAUAGCUUUAGGGCUAGCCUCGGGUGUAGAGUAGCGGAGGUAGAGCACUGAUAGGGUGCGGGGCCCGCCAAGGGUUACCAAGUCUUGUCAAACUCCGAAUGCCGCAUACUUGCUGCCCGGGAGUCAGACCAUGAGUGCUAAGAUCCAUGGUCAAGAGGGAAACAGCCCAGAUCAUCAGCUAAGGCCCCCAAGUGCGUGUUAAGUGGGAAAGGAUGUGGAGUUGCAAAGACAACCAGGAUGUUGGCUUAGAAGCAGCCACCAUUCAAAGAGUGCGUAAUAGCUCACUGGUCGAGUGACUCUGCGCCGAAAAUGUAACGGGGCUAAACACGCCGCCGAAGCUAUGGGCCCGCACUGCUCACGCAGUGCUCGCGGUAGGGGAGCGUCGGGUACGCGUUGAAGUCAGACCGGAAGGACUGGUGGAGUGUACUCGAGUGAGAAUGCCGGUAUGAGUAACGAAAAGAUGGGUGAGAAUCCCAUCCGCCGAAAGCCUAAGGUUUCCUGAGGAAGGUUCGUCCGCUCAGGGUUAGUCGGGGCCUAAGGCGAGGCCGAAAGGCGUAGUCGAAGGACAACAGGUUGAUAUUCCUGUACCACCGUAAGCCGUUAUGAGCGAUGGGGUGACGCAGAAGGACAGUGACGCGGACUGCUGGAAUAGUCCGUCCAAGCAGCGAGGCUGGUGUGCAGGCAAAUCCGCACAUCAUAAGGCUGAGCUGUGACGGGGAGGGAAACUUGUAGUACCGAAGGUCAUGCGUUCUGGCUGCCGAGAAAAGCCUCUAGCCAGGCGAAGGUGCCCGUACCGCAAACCGACACAGGUAGGCAAGCAGAGCAUGCUGAGGCGCGCGGAAGAACUCUCGUUAAGGAACUCGGCAAAAUGACCCCGUAACUUCGGGAGAAGGGGUGCCCCGGUAGGGUGAAUAGCCCGAGGGGGCCGCAGUGAAAAGGCCCAAGCGACUGUUUAGCAAAAACACAGGUCUGUGCGAAGCCGCAAGGCGAAGUAUACGGGCUGACGCCUGCCCGGUGCUGGAAGGUUAAGGGGAGCGGUCAGGUUUAGGCCGAAGCUGUGAACCGAAGCCCCAGUAAACGGCGGCCGUAACUAUAACGGUCCUAAGGUAGCGAAAUUCCUUGUCGGGUAAAUUCCGACCCGCACGAAUGGCGUAACGACUUGGGCGCUGUCUCAACGAGAGAUCCGGUGAAAUUUUAGUACCUGUGAAGAUGCAGGUUACCCGCGACAAGACGGAAAGACCCCAUGGAGCUUUACUGCAGCUUGAUAUUGGACUUUGGUACGGUCUGUACAGGAUAGGUGGGAGCCUGGGAAGCCGGGGCGCCAGCUUCGGUGGAGGCGCCGUUGGGAUACCACCCUGAUCGUAUCGAAGUUCUAACCUGGCGCCGUGAUCCGGUGCGGGGACCGUGUCAGGCGGGCAGUUUGACUGGGGCGGUCGCCUCCCAAAGCGUAACGGAGGCGCCCAAAGGUUCCCUCAGAAUGGUUGGAAAUCAUUCGGAGCGUGUAAAGGCAGAAGGGAGCUUGACUGCGAGACUGACAAGUCGAGCAGGGACGAAAGUCGGGCUUAGUGAUCCGGUGGUACCGAAUGGAAGGGCCAUCGCUCAACGGAUAAAAGCUACCCUGGGGAUAACAGGCUUAUCUCCCCCAAGAGUCCACAUCGACGGGGAGGUUUGGCACCUCGAUGUCGGCUCAUCGCAUCCUGGGGCUGAAGUAGGUCCCAAGGGUUGGGCUGUUCGCCCAUUAAAGCGGUACGCGAGCUGGGUUCAGAACGUCGUGAGACAGUUCGGUCCCUAUCUGUCGCGGGCGCAGGAAAUUUGAGAGGAGCUGUCCUUAGUACGAGAGGACCGGGAUGGACGUACCGCUGGUGUACCAGUUGUUCCGCCAGGAGCACCGCUGGGUAGCCAAGUACGGACGGGAUAAGCGCUGAAAGCAUCUAAGCGCGAAGCCCCCCUCAAGAUGAGAUUUCCCACUGUAAAGGUAAGACCCCUGGAAGAUGACCAGGUUGAUAGGUUCGAGGUGGAAGCGCGGCAACGCGUGAAGCUGACGAAUACUAAUCGGUCGAGGGCUUAUCCUA